GCCGACGGAUGAAAAGCUCACCGGGGUGACGGCGGUUUUGCGAGGACGGCGGCGGACGGAACCUUCUCCGGCGAGCAAUUAGUCUCAAACUGAAGCGCAAUCGGGCGAGGGGGUCUGGGGAAAAGGUAGAGGAGGCCGAGAGCUUCAAAGUGACGCGCGGGGUUUCGGAUAUGGAGUCGUGUGCAUGGAGGAAUCGGAGAGGAAUCGUGGGCGGUUCGGGGCGUGCGUGGCCGUGGAAUCCGGACGGCAGUUGGAGGUUGAAGACGAUGGCGGGGCCCGCCGGUCGGUCCAAUUCGGCCGGUUCGGCUCGGUUUUUCUUUUCUUUUUUUCUAUUUUCUGUUUUUGAACCUCAAAAUUGAUUCAAAGCUCCAAAUCACUCCAAAUAAAUUGCAACAAAAUUUGUAAAAUCAUAUUUCCCUGUGAUCCAACUUUUGGAACAAGAAUUUUCUCAAAAUAAAAUAUUUAAAAUUACAUUUGCCUAUAAAAUGGCUUAUAGGGCCUUUUAGGCUUUCAAAAUAAUUUCAAAAGCAAACUUAUAGGAUAGCUUUUAUAUAUGCAUUAACUCUCUUUUUAUACCAAAACCUUCAUGGGUUAAAACACAAAUGCUUGAAAGCAAGAUCAAAGCCCAAAAUCAAAUAAAAGCACUUCUGAACAGGGAUUCUCAAAGUAAACUUUAGGGUUUUCAAAUGUGAUUAAAUGUAAGGGUGACAUGAUGCUUAUGAUAUGCAAUGCAUAUGAAGGGUUUUGAAACUUGGGACGUUACAUCCUGCCAGGGAAAUCCGCCGAUGAAGGCCUUCGACCUAGGCGUUGG
rnacentral:lncRNA from 1 species